rnacentral:misc_RNA from 1 species
GGGAAAUGGGCAUCCUGACUGAUCNGAGGUCACCUNGGAAAGAUUGAUUUGCGUUCGGCAAGCGCCGGCCGGGCCUACAGAGCGGGUGACAAAGCCCCAUACGCUCGAGGAUCGGACGCGGUGCCGCCGCUGCCUUUGGGGCCCGUCCCCCCCGGAGAGGGGACGACGACCCAACACACAAGCCGUGCUUGAUGGGCAGCAAUGACGCUCGGACAGGCAUGCCCCCCGGAAUACCAGGGGGCGCAAUGUGCGUUCAAAGACUCGAUGAUUCACGGAAUUCUGCAAUUCACACUAGUUAUCGCAUUUCGCUGCGUUCUUCAUCGAUGCCGGAACCAAGAGAUCCAUUGUUGAAAGUUUUAACUGAUUGCGAUACAAUCAACUCAGACUUCACUAGAUCAGACAGAGUUCGUGGUGUCUCCGGCGGGCGCGGG